GCUUAACGCGAAGAACCUUACCCAGACUUGACAUCCUUGGAAGGACUACGAAAGUAGACUGUGCCUUUUGGAGCCAAGUGACAGGUGUUGCAUGGCCGUCGUCAGCUCGUGUCGUGAGAUGUUUGGUUAAGUCCAUUAACGAGCGCAACCCUUGUGAAUAGUUGUAUUUUUCUAUUCAGACUGCCCUGGCAACAGGGAGGAAGGAGGGGAUGAUGUCAGGUCAGUAUUACCCUUACAUCUGGGGCUACAAACACGCUACAAUGGCCGGUACAAAGGGACGCCAACCCGCGAGGGGGAGCAAAUCCCAUCAAAGCCGGUCUCAGUUCGGAUUGCAGGCUGAAACUCGCCUGCAUGAAGCUGGAAUCGCUAGUAAUCGCGAAUCAGAAUGUCGCGGUGAAUACGUUCCCGGGUCUUGUACACACCG
rnacentral:rRNA from 1 species